rnacentral:rRNA from 1 species
UACGAAGGGGGCUAGCGUUGCUCGGAAUUACUGGGCGUAAAGCGCACGUAGGCGGAUCUUUAAGUCAGGGGUGAAAUCCUGGAGCUCAACUCCAGAACUGCCUUUGAUACUGAGGGUCUUGAGUUCGGGAGAGGUGAGUGGAACUGCGAGUGUAGAGGUGAAAUUCGUAGAUAUUCGCAAGAACACCAGUGGCGAAGGCGGCUCACUGGCCCGAUACUGACGCUGAGGUGCGAAAGCGUGGGGAGCAAACAGG